UCAUUUAUUACAUUUUUGUUUCCAUCAUCGCCUUAUCAUGUUUCAGUUACUAAUUAACGAAUUAGUGUCAACGGAUUUUUCUAUAAAAUCUUAACGCUUUUCAGCUAAUCGUGCAGUUUUGCAUUUUUCUUCAAUUCAAUUACUUUGCAGCGAUUUACAGCGAUUUAACAAAAUGCGCUUACUGGGAAUAUUCUUAAUACUAUUUAUGGCCCUGAUGACUUGGGCCCGUGAUCCAUGUUCGAAACCCUGCAGCAGAGAAUUUGAUUAUGUAUGUGGCCAAUAUCCCGAUGGACACAAGCACACAUUCUCCAAUCCUUGUGUAAUGGAGGUGACGGCUUGCGAAGAGGGGAAGGAAAUUACUGAAGUCCACAAAGGUGAAUGCUAAUUGUGAUAUUUUUUGUAUGUUCUAUAUAAAAUAAAUGCGUCUAAA